rnacentral:misc_RNA from 1 species
CUUGUUUAGAGGAAGUAAAAGUCGUAACAAGGUUUCCGUAGGUGAACCUGCGGAAGGAUCAUUAACACGUAUCCACGUUUAUAAACAAAUCCGAUGCACUGAACUCCCUUUCUUUCUAAGUCACAGCUGUUGGUCAUGGUGUUUAAGUGGGUUCACCCUUUCGAGGGGGGGCAUACAUUGUGAGACUGUCACUCCCAUUCGUGGAGAGUGUGGCUGUGGAAUUGAUUGAAAGGCUUUCUCAUUUCCUACGUGGUCUACCAUACUUGGAUCCCUGGAAAUGAUACCCCACAAAUUUCACCCUAUUUUACCUAUUUGGCUAAUUUACAUUCAACAGAGAAAUCUGUCUGAAUACUAAGAUUUAUCUUAACUAAGCACAACUCUUAGCAAUGGAUAUCUUGGUUCUC